UACGGGGGGGGCAAGCGUUGUUCGGAAUUACUGGGGGUAAAGGGCUCGUAGGCGGCCAACUAAGUCAGACGUGAAAUCCCCAGGCUUAACCUGGGAACUGCGUCUGAUACUGGAUGGCUUGAAUUCGGGAGAGGGAUGCAGAAUUCCAGGUGUAGCGGUGAAAUGCGUAGAUAUCUGGAGGAAUACCGGUGGCGAAGGCGGCAUCCUGGACCGACAUUGACGCUGAGGAGCGAAAGCUAGGGGAGCAAACGGG
rnacentral:rRNA from 1 species